CCCAAGCCGUGUCUAUCCAGAAAGACUACUCAACUUCUCUGAUGUCCCACGAACAGAACCAGCCCGCUCACCUCUCUCUCCCCCAAGAACAGAGCACGGCCGCCGUCGCCUCGAUCUGCCCCGUACGGGCAUCUCCGGCGACAUGGCGGACACCUAUAGAUUCCCCUCGUCUCCCUCUACCAUUUCCCCCUAUUUAUUUGAUCGGCCACCGCCAAAAACGCCGCCACCACUCAAUCCUAGCGCCGCCCGAUCCAGGUCUGGUGGGCUUGCCACCGGCUGCAGCGGCAACGAUGUCUCCAUGCCUACAUCCUCCCCCUAGUGCAGCCACACGCACAAGGCGUGCAGCCACGGGCGUCGGGCACAUGCGGCUUCACCGGCGCUGCUCGGUUGCCAUGGCUUUGCUGCUAACGGUGUGGACUAGCCACAUCCUACUGCUACUACUGGUAAAUAGAUCAAGGUGAAUAGACGCUCAUGGACUGAUUCAAACCGAGGUGGAGAUAGAUAAGAAGUCAAGCAAGAAGGUCUAACACAACAAGGUACUUGAUUAGUACCUGGUGGCGCAUGCAACCCAAAGAGCUUCACAUCAGUGGAGGACAGUAGUGUGGCAGAAAGUGAAAAGGCAAGGUGAAAAGGCAGAGGGGUUUCUCCAGCGGAUGAUUGUGUGUGGCCACAGUGAAAGGGAUGGCUCCUAUUUGUAGUGGGGUGAAUAGCUAUGUCGGUUUGGAGAUGCAUUACAUCUGGCAUGCAGGCGUGGUUAGUCUUGCAUGCAUGCCUCCACUUCUGUCUCUUGUGGGUUGUAUUAGGGACAAGUGUGAUUUGCUUGGCUGGCCAUUAGUUGGCACUUACUUUGUGUGAGAGAAAUGAGACAAGGGUCUAUAAAAUAUAGGGAAGUUUGGAGAAGAAUUGGUGUGUAUGACUAAAUGCUAUUUCCUGUAAAAAUAAAUUAAAAGUAGUUGUUUCUAUUAUUUUAGUUAAUGUUUAGGCAACGCCGUUGAAAUUAUCAUUAUCUAAUUUAUUAUUAUUAUUAUUAUUAUUAUUAUUAUUAUUAUUA